rnacentral:rRNA from 1 species
UACAGAGGUGGCAAGCGUUGUUCGAAUUACUGGGCGUAAAGGGCGCGUAGGCGGCCAUCUAAGUCAGACGUGAAAUCCCCCGGCUUAACCUGGGAACUGCGUCUGAUACUGGAAGGCUUGAGUAUGGGAGAGGGAUGUAGAAUUCCAGGUGUAGCGGUGAAAUGCGCAGAUAUCAGGAGGAACACCGGUGGCGAAGGCGGGUCUCUGGGCCGAUACUGACGCUGAGGAGCGAAAGCGUGGGGAGCGAACAGG